rnacentral:rRNA from 1 species
GACGAACGCUGGCGGCGUGCCUAAUACAUGCAAGUUGAGCGCUGAAGGUUGGUACUUGUACCAACUGGAUGAGCAGCGAACGGGUGAGUAACGCGUGGGGAAUCUGCCUUUGAGCGGGGGACAACAUUUGGAAACGAAUGCUAAUACCGCAUAAAAACUUUAAACACAAGUUUUAAGUUUGAAAGAUGCAAUUGCAUCACUCAAAGAUGAUCCCGCGUUGUAUUAGCUAGUUGGUGAGGUAAAGGCUCACCAAGGCGAUGAUACAUAGCCGACCUGAGAGGGUGAUCGGCCACAGUGAGACUGAGACACGGCCCAAACUCCUACGGGAGGCAGCAGUAGGGAAUCUUCGGCAAUGGACGAAAGUCUGACCGAGCAACGCCGCGUGAGUGAAGAAGGGUUUCGGAUCGUAAAACUCUGUUGGUAGAGAAGAACGUUGGUGAGAGUGGAAAGCUCAUCAAGUGACGGUAACUACCCAGAAAGGGACGGCUAACUACGUG